rnacentral:rRNA from 1 species
GAUGAACGCUGGCGGCGUGCCUAAUACAUGCAAGUCGAGCGAACGGACGAGAAGCUUGCUUCUCUGAUGUUAGCGGCGGACGGGUGAGUAACACGUGGAUAACCUACCUAUAAGACUGGGAUAACUUCGGGAAACCGGAGCUAAUACCGGAUGAUAUUUUGAACCGCAUGGUUCAAAAGUGAAAGACGGUCUUGCUGUCACUUAUAGAUGGAUCCGCGCUGCAUUAGCUAGUUGGUAAGGUAACGGCUACCAAGGCAACGAUGCAUAGCCGACCUGAGAGGGUGAUCGGCCACACUGGAACUGAGACACGGUCCAGACUACUAAGGGAGGCAGCAGUAGGGAAUCUUCCGCAAUGGGCGAAAGCCUGACGGAGCAACGCCGCGUGAGUGAUGAAGGUCUUCGGAUCGUAAAAAUCUGUUAUUAGGGAAGAACAUAUGUGUAAGGAACUGUGCACAUCUUGACGGUACCUAAUCAGAAAGCCACGGCUAACUACGUG